rnacentral:hammerhead_ribozyme from 1 species
AUUCAGCUGACGAGUCCCAAACAGGACGAAACGCGAGUCCUGGAU